ACAUCAGUGCGUUGUUGCCUCUCCCGUGCCCCCUACUGGGGACCUACCAGCAACCCUUUGGUUCGCAGGCCAGCACUCAAUUCACCGAGCCACACCAGCCAGGACGGUCAUUUUUUUUUAAUAGUGACUUCUUUUAGAUGUCUUUUUGGAAGGUGUCCAUCCCUCAAAAUGGUCCAUGGGAAACUUAAAAUUCUCCCAUAGCUAUGCAAGGAUUUCAGUGGUUUUAAGUUCACUUAAAAGGAAUGAGCUAGGGGUAACAGGAUCUGACAGCUAUAAACAGAAAUUGAAUACUGAAAAACAAAAACCCACCCAACUACAUUUUAUAUGGGAUGGGAACGGGAUCCUCAGCUUUGUCAGACUCGUGUGGCCAGAUUCCUUUCCUGCAUUUUGAUAUUUAAUAUGAAAACUUAAUUGCUGGUAAAGGAGUGAGAUUUGGGCCUAAUUUCAAACACAAGUGUCAAAUGUGGAGUCACAUAGACAAAUUUCAAUUAUGAAUAAUUGCCACGGAGCCUUCUUUGACACAGAGGACAUGAGGACAGAGCGUUCAUUCGGGCGCCUGGGAGAGAGCUGGCAGCUCCUGAAGAGGACCCGCGUGGGCACGUGCCGGGACCGGCGUAGUGGAGCUGCGGUUUUCACAGGCUGUCCCAGCUGCCUCGCCCUCCCGGCGCGCCACGUCCCCUCUGUUGCGUGCUCACUGUCCCUCAGGGCUACCUGCAGAGGACUCGACCCUAAAAUAAUCUUGAAGAGAUUUUUCUUGAAACAUUGAGGUUUGCAGAGCCCUUUAAGAAUUUGAUGAAAACCAUGGACACUCUUCCUGGAAAAAGGUACACAAAAUGCUUGCAGAGAAUUUCCGGAGAGUUAAGAAUCUCUGACUUAGCUGUAGUGGACUUUUUAAUCUCACACUGAUCAAUUAUGACCACAGGUGCCCCGUGAGCGCAAGUAAAGUGAAGCCCACAAACAGAAAUAUAUUUAUAAACCUGGGUAGAUUUUCUAUAAUUCCCUCAUCUGAGUCAGUUAGUGUCAUGCCCUGCUUUAAGGAUGGGGAGAAAAUCGUUCAUUCUGGCUGAAGUUAUCUUCAUGCCAAGAGGCACGGGAACAUUCCCCUCGGGUUGGGGGAUGUGAAACCCUGACAAUGUAAAGCCGAUUAUUGCUUACCAAGCCUUUAGGACUAAUGCUGAGCAUUGAGUGAAGAAAGGCUUCCCUGGCAUGGGGCAGGGUUUAUCCUGAGAAUUAACAGCACCUUCCUCACUUUGAUUUGCCCCAGAGCCCCUUCUUAAGGGCAGAAAAGGUCUCCAGAAUAGCAACCCGCUUUUGGCUGAAAGAGAAGGAGGUAGAGAUUCUUCUGCCUUUCGCAUCUGGGAAAACUGGAGUGAAGACCUUCUAACCAACUCAGUGGCUUAAAGAAAAAGUUUGGGUAACAACUGCCAUUUAAAUUUCCCUCUGGGGUUAUUGUAAUCGAUGAAAACAGGUGAAUUAUUUUAAAGAGUUAAAACACUCUGAAGUUACAAGGUAAAAAAAGUACCUUUCCCUCCACAUCACUUCUAACAAUUUGCUAAACUGAAAGAUUCCCUUUGGCUGGUCCCUUUCUGCAGAGCUGCCUGUGAACCGCUGCACCCCAGGGAUGGCGGAUCCCCAGAAGCAGCGCCGCCGCUGAAAGGCUGAGCUUCCCUGCUGUCCCUGGAGACUUGUGUUUUGUGGAGGAGAGAGGGGACUGAGACUGCUGUUGAGUCCGUGGUGUCUCCCAAGGCGCAGGUCAGGAGUGGUUAGUGAGGAACUGGUUCAAAAACUUCCAAUCACUGUCUUUGUUGAGGAAAGCAGAUGGCUCUGCCUGAAGCAAGUGUCAAACAUUAUUCGUUCGCUUUGGAGGAGCUGGGACUAGAAUAAUCCGGGUGAAAGCACCUUUCCUUUUGUGCCCACCUUCCACACCAGGCUGCCCUUGGGGCGGCCUGCAGCACCACGGGGCACACACUGGGUACCUGCCACAUUUGUACAAAGGAGUAGGUUUCUAGGUCUCAGAAUUCAAACCCAUUGAUCCUUCCUAAUGGUUUAAAAUAAUUUUUGUUCUCUGGAAGGUCACACAUACUCUUUAGCUGCUUUGUAAUAUAAUCCAGCACAACAAAAGUAUGGCUAUUUCUUUGUUUUAUUGAGAAACAUCCGAGUUGUACAUAUGACAAACAGCUUCAGGUGUAUCUGCACCAACACCCCAGUGGCCAAACAGUUAACACCUGAAGCCAUCACUUUAAAUGUGAAAAGUCUUAUAAAAUUAACUUACAAAAAUGUCCCUAAAAGUAUGUAGUUUGGCAUUUACUGUACAUUAGUCAAAAGCUCAAGCUAAAAUCUGAUAUUCUUUAAAAAAAAAUCAAAGUUUACAUUCAUACAGAUUUAG